GAUGAACGCUAGCGGCAGGCUUAAUACAUGCAAGUCGAGGGGUAGCAAGAUUGUAGCAAUACAAUUGUUGACGACCGGCAAACGGGUGCGGAACACGUACACAACCUUCCUACAGGUGGGGAAUAGCCCAGAGAAAUUUGGAUUAAUACCCCGUAACCUAGCGAUGUGGCAUCACAUUGCUAUUAUAGCUUCGGCGCUUGUUGAUGGGUGUGCGGCUGAUUAGAUAGUUGGCGGGGUAACGGCCCACCAAGUCUACGAUCAGUAGCUGAUGUGAGAGCAUGAUCAGCCACACGGGCACUGAGACACGGGCCCGACUCCUACGGGAGGCAGCAGUAAGGAAUAUUGGACAAUGGACGCAAGUCUGAUCCAGCCAUGCCGCGUGAAGGAUUAAGGUCCUCUGGAUUGUAAACUUCUUUUAUAAGGGACGAAAAAAGGUCUUUCUAGAUCGUCUGACGGUACCUUAUGAAUAAGCACCGGCUAACUCCGUGCCAGCCGCCGCAGUAACAC
rnacentral:rRNA from 1 species